UACGUAGGGGGCUAGCGUUAUCCGGAAUUACUGGGCGUAAAGCGCGCGUAGGCGGACCUGCAAGUCGGGGGUGAAAGCCCGAGGCUCAACCUCGGAACUGCCUUCGAUACUGCGGGUCUCGAGUCCGGGAGAGGUGAGUGGAAUUCCUAGUGUAGAGGUGAAAUUCGUAGAUAUUAGGAAGAACACCAGUGGCGAAGGCGGCUCACUGGCCCGGUACUGACGCUGAGGCGCGAAAGCGUGGGGAGCAAACAGG
rnacentral:rRNA from 1 species